GCUCUGUGAGAAUGCCUGCACCCCUUUCUGGCGUUGUCGGCUUCAAACCGACUUUUGGACGCACACCUCAGUCAGGUGUUCUUCCUCUUAACUGGACAGUCGGAAUGGUUGGAAUACUAGCAGGUACCAUAGAGGAUGCAUUUAUUGUGUAAGUGUUCUCUUGUUUUCUUUUUCUUUCUUUUUUUGGUGUAGUGGAAGCCACAAACUGGAGUAUGGAGGUGGUUGCAGAUGGUACUUGAAUCCCAAAACUUCCGGAUGGCGGAUGCCGCCUCUUAAAAGUGAUUGCAUGAAUCAACGGGACUAAGCUUCGGGUUCCUUGACUUUUUUAUCAUUUUGUUAUAGAUUUGACUUAGAUUUCUGUUUUCAGAUGAGACAACCACUUUGCAUGUGAGUACCAGUUGUAUAAGAUCACUAAGAAUUCUGGGUAUUAACUGUUGUUUUCAAUGCAUAUCACCUCCCUUUAAAGAGAAAGCUGAUUCCAAUACCAAUUUAUGUGCCAAACCGAUUUUUCAUAUAUACUUCAAAAAAAAAUUGAACAUAUUCAUAUUAGACAAGUACCCUUAUCUUAUGCUUACCUAUGUCUGCGUAACAUAACUCUUCACACCUAUAUUAUUUUCACAAGAGAAUCUAAAGUUUAGAAACCUUGUACUUUUUUCUUUGGCAUACGGAUAACCUACCAGCCAAAAGUGUAUUUUCCGCUGCUGAACUCGAAAAAUCAAAUAUCAAACAUCAAGCUUGCAAGAUAUGGAGCGUGGUUCAAUGAUUGUGACGAAGAAGUCAGAUUAUGCUGCUCUAAUGCUCUGCAAUUGCUCUGUGAGCAUUACAGUUGGAAGACUGUAGAGGUUACUAUACCGGAGAUAGAAGUAAUGCGGCAGGCGCAUUAUGUGACGAUUGGUUCCAAGUGCAGCACUUCACUUAGUUCUUAUCUGGAAAAUUUG